ensembl:lncRNA
AUUAAAGAGGAGCCAGAGGAGCAGAGCGUCAAACAGGAGGAAGACACGCUCCCAGCACAGCUCCUAGUGAGUGUCCCAGAGUCCAGUGCUGUCUGUGUGAAGACAGAAGAGUCCUCACUGCUUCAUCAUAGACAAACUGAGCACAGAGAAGAAACACAGGGAGAGGACAUCAGCACAGAGCCACAUUUACACUCAGAGACUGAGGGACACACGGAGCACUCCUCUGACACUGACAAUGAUGAAAACUGUAAAGCUCCAUUCAGCUGUUCAGCUGCACAGAUGGUUGCAGUGGUCUCCAUCAGCCUCUGUCUCCAAGUCCAGAAAGGCCAAACGCUGAGAGCUUUGGUGAAUGAGCGGCUGACUGCGGCUGCUGAAGAGAUCUUUGCGCUGUUUGAAAGAACAAUAGUGGAGUAUAAGGAGGAACUGUGUCGCUCCAAAGAGGAGAACCAGAGGAACCAGGACACUCCACAGACUCCACGGAUUAAAGAGGAGCCAGAGGAGCUCAGCAUCAAACAGGAGGAAGACACGCUCCCAGCACAGGGUGAGGAUGCCACUUGCAGCCUUGAAAAUGUGCCUUCUGCCAGUGAAUUUCCAACUCGUGCCACUCAGGGUGAGGAUGAUACUUGCAACCUGCAAAAUGUCCUUUCUACCAGUGACCUUCCACCAUGUGACACUCAGCAUGAUGGAGCCGGAAACAGCCUAAAUACUGUGCCUUCUGCUACCAGUGACAUCCCAACAUGUGACAAUCAGGCCAAUGAAAAUACAUACAAGUCUAUACCAAGUCAUUCUGAAUCAUCUGAUGAUGACGAUGCCCAUGUACCAAAACUGCAAAGAACCAAAAGCUUGUUUAUGAAGUCAACUCUUCCACCCUAUGAGGAUUGGUGUGAAUCGACUCCAGACAGCAGAGACGAGUAUGUUCCGGACUCCUGCGAUGAAAGUAGCAGUUCUCCUUCCGUGAGCAGCACACCUACACCCAGAAAAAAUAGGAAGUCCCUUCCAAGCCAAGCACAGAGUCCAGACAGCACUACUUCCUGUCUUGUACCAGCACCAGC